rnacentral:lncRNA from 1 species
CUUACACUAUUAAUAUUGUAUUUUUAUUUUAAGCUUUACGUUAUAUGUAUCUCCAAUUUAUUGUAUUUUUUCCCCUUCUUUACUGUUUUAUCCCCCUGGCAUCUUUUAUGUUCCUUAUGUAAUUCCUAAUGUUUCAUUAUGCUGUAAUAAUUUACUGUUUAAUAAAAAAUAAAAAAAAUCGUAGGAAUUUUCGAGAGGGUGCUCGCUGCAGAGCCAUUUGAGCAGAGCUGAGCUCCAGCGAGGGGGAGCAUGAGCUGUCGCUCCUCCUCCUGUAAGCUGUUUUAAUGCGUACACCAACCCCACCCCUAACCCUACCCCCAGUGACAUCACUCGUAGAAGAAGCGCAAAAAAGGUGGAGCUCAAGCUUAAGCUCCCCCUCGCUGGAGCUCAGCUCUCCUCAAAUGGCUCUGCAGCGAGCACCACUUGGAAUUUUCCGCCAUCUAGUGUUGAAUAGAGUGAACAUAUCAGCUAACGUAAAAUGACAGAAGAUUAACAUGCUCUAACUGCUUACAGCCUCCCAAUAAUUUACAGCAUUUUCAAACACAUUGUAAGCCAUUUUAUCGGCGCAUGUGUGAGUUCAGCCAAAUAUUAUAGAAUACACUUAAAGUGACUCUGGUUCUUCGUUGUAAGUAAGACUAGGAACCUUUAUCUCGCUGAAUCACCCCGGAACAAUUUAGAGGCGGCGCGCGGCUGCACACGCGGGUUCACUGUGUGCUGUGUUUUGGUGGAACGGCUCUUCAAAACCGCUGUCGCUACCAUUAGCUUGACCAUGUUGAAGUCCAAAACAUUUGUAAAAAAGACCCGUUCUGGCGGAGUGUUGAAAAUCGUACGGGAACAUUAUCUCCGAGAUGACAUCUGGUGUGGAAGUGAAGUUUGUAAGGAGUGCAAAGAUGAAGCUCCGGUGCUGCAAGAAGAAACUUGUAUAGAAAGCAACCUCUGCCCAUAUCCUCACUAUUUAAUCCCAGACACCAAUGUGGUUUUACAUCAGCAGUUCAGAUGCAGAGUCUGGUGUUUUAAUCCAAAAAUCUACAAUGAGUAAGUAAAAUGUGUUCAAAUGUUUUUCAGGGUUUCUAAACUAAGUCUGUGUAUUAAGUUAUAUUGUUGUUGUCUUGAACUGUGUACUUGAGGGCUACAUUGUUAGCUAGUUAGCCUCUCCUCAUAUAACUUUUUACAUUACUUUCAUUUAACUAUAUUUAUUCAUUGGAUAUUGCCUAUUUCCAUAAUGUACUUUUUGGCAAAUAAGCAGAUUGUAUACACAUAAAAACCAUUAAAUUCCAAUCUCCUCAGCUAGGUAGCUAAUGUGAAUCAUCACAGGGAUUCACAAACCUCUACUCUCAGGUCCUAAGUAUUGCUAAGUAUUUUUCAGAGCUGUGUUUCCAAUUAUCAAUUCCUAAGGACAAUAGAAAUGUUUGUUUUCUUGAACAUUUUUAAGUAAAUAAUAAUACGAUUAGAUCCUUUGGGUUCUCUGUGUUGCCGACUUUUGUUUUGUUUUUUGUUUUUAUAAUUAUUUUAAACUUUUUUUAUUGAGUAUUGUGUUUUUUGACAAACGUGUUUCUAACCAAAUAUACAGUAUGUGUGUGUUGUUUUGAAAUGCUAUUUUGUUUUAAUUAUUUGAAACCUGAGAAAACUUUUUUUUCUUUUUGAUCCUUUUUUGUUUUUAACCUUAUAUUAGUGUAACUUUGUAUAUCAGGAUUCAAGUAAUGCCACAUUAGAGCUUUUUCAAAGGGAUGUAUUAUACUAUAUAUGAACGACAUGCAUUAAAAGGUGAAAUAAAAAACUCUCUCUUAAACAACACUUCCAUUUUAUUAUUAUUAUUAUUUUUUUUUUGCAGAGGCUCAAUAAAGUUGACUGAACAUCAACUGAAGUGAGUGAAAGUGGUGUUUGUUGAAUAAAGUGUUUCUUAAAUAAAUUCAUAAAUCAGGUUAUUAUUUUUUUUACUACUACAGGUUUGGAACAACAUGAGGAUCAGUGCUGAACGAUUUUUUAUUUUUUGCUUUGGAUGGAGUUUGUUAAGUAAUUAUUGUAUAUUGUUUUUUAUUUCAUUAUUAUUAUUUUUUUGCAUUUGUGACUGUGAUAAAUGUUGGCAGUUGCUUAAAUGUGGUCAAACUCAGUUCCUGGAGGGCUGCAGCCAGCAGAGUUUAGUUCCCACCCUGCUUCAACAUUAACUGUAGAUUUCUAAUAAUCCUCAAUUAGUUGAUCAGAUGUGUUUAAUUUGAGUUAACGCUAAACUCUGUGGCCCUCUGUAAUAUGUCAGAUGAUAUUUAAAUGUUUGACAACUGUGCUAUAUACACAGCAUGUGUUGAUUGCUUUAAUUUUGUUGUACAUUUUCUGUUUUAUAUUUGUUUGCUGCCAAAACAAUAAAAUACAUGUGUCUGAACAACUGAUAUGCAUUUUAACACUUAAGAAUACUGAUUAAUUUUAGUAACACUACAAUAACUAUAAAUGACAUACCAUUAAUGUUUACGCAGUAUAAUCCUGUGAGUUGCAACACGACAGUACAGUAAGUAACUGUAAGCAGUCUCCAGUUAGUUACCGCUACUGCUCUAUUACAGUAAUUAACUGACAACACUGUUGCCAGCUACUCACUGUAAUGGUUCAGUUACAGUAAUUACCUGGCAACACUGUUGCCAGUUAGAAACUGUUUAGUUACAGUAAUUCACUGGCAACACUAUUGCCAAUUACUCAC